GCGUCAGUGGCGGAAUUGGUAUACGCGCAUGACUUAGGAUCAUGUGGGCUCUCCCGUGCAGGUUCAAGUCCUGUCUGACGCACCA
rnacentral:tRNA from 1 species